rnacentral:lncRNA from 1 species
GCAAAUCUAAAAACGUUAUGAUCAUAAAACAUGAGUAAUAAGACAUACUGAAUAAACUUAGUGAGUCAUUGCAUUUAGUUUCAAAAACCUUUACUUGUAGUAUUUCUUGAGGGAGAUUCUUCUAACCAACAUAAACCAUGUGAGUUAUCAUGGAGUCCAAUGUUUUACCCAUGUUGGAGAAAGUUGUCCUACCCUUGCCAUCAGAAUAGGAC